AAGCCUAGCUCCCCUGAAACUUUAUUUUAUUCUUUUGAAUCAUUGGGAUUCAAACCUGGGGGUUUUCUGUUAUUCCAAUGGCUUGUGCCAUGAAGCUUUUGGUGGUGGUGAUCUCUCUUUCUUGGGUACUAAGUAUGCAACAUUCCUGCUUUGUUCUUGGCAAGCCAGCAGUCCCUUGUUUCUUCAUUUUUGGCGACUCUCUGUCUGAUUGUGGCAACAACAACGUGCUUAAUACUACUGCUAAGGUUAACUACGAGCCGUAUGGCGUCGACUUUCCUUAUGGACCAACCGGAAGGUUUUGCAACGGUCGCACCACCGUUGAUAUACUCACUGAACUUCUGGGAUUUGAAAACUACAUUCCACCAUUUGAUUAUGCGAACGGCUCCGCCAUACUCAGCGGUGUAAACUACGCAUCCGGUGCAUCAGGCAUUCGAAGAGAAUCCGGGAUGACAUCGGGCACAGUGCUCAGCAUGGGUAAACAGUUAAAGAACCACAGGAAAACUAUCUCGCGCAUCAUCGGCAUGCUUGGAAAGAAAAGCUUGGCCAGAAACUACUUGAACAAGUGCUUAUAUUCAGUCGCAACAGGCAGCAAUGACUACAUUAACAAUUACUUUUUACCUCAAUACUAUAAUACUAGUCAAGAAUAUACACUUGAGGAAUAUGCCGUAGUUCUUGUCGAACAAUAUUCUCGGCAAAUACUGAGAUUGUAUGAGUAUGGAGCAAAGAAGGUUGUUUUGGGUGGACUGGGACUAAUAGGCUGCACUCCUGCUGCAAUUGCUAGCUAUGGCACCAACGGAUCAUGUUCUGAAGAACUCAACUAUGCAGCCCAACUUUUCAACCAACAGCUUGUAUCUCUUGUUGAUCAGCUCAACAGCAAUUUGACUGAUGCAAAGUUCAUCUACAUUAACAACUACGGAAUCGGUUCGGUCAAUACUACAAGUCUUGGAUUCACGGUGUCGGAUGCUGGGUGCUGUACACUUAACAGCGGUGGCCUGUGUGUGGAAGAUUCAACUCCAUGCGAGGAUAGGAGUGAGUAUGUGUUUUGGGACGGGUUCCAUCCUACUGAGGCUUUUAAUCGGAUCAGUGCUAACAAAAGCUACAGUUCGUAUGAGUCUGCCGACACUUAUCCAAUGGAUGUUAGUCAACUAGUUGAGCUAGAGUUCAAUCCUCUGAAAUGGUUAACGGUGAUUACUGUUUUGGUGGUUUCAUUAUCACAAUCUUGUGUUCUUGGAGCGCCACAAGUACCUUGCUUCUUCAUUUUCGGUGAUUCACUGGCCGAUAACGGCAAUAACAACCUCCUCGGGACUUUGGCCAAAGUGAAUUACGCGCCGUACGGAAUUGAUUAUCCUGGUGGAGUACCAACAGGAAGAUUUUCCAAUGGCAAAACUACUGUUGAUAUACUAGCUGAAUUUUUGGGAUUUGAGACUCCUAUCCCACCAUUUGCUACUACAAUAGGACAGGACAUUGUUAAAGGUCUCAAUUAUGCAUCCGGCGCCGCAGGGAACUGGCUCCAAUCUGGUAAUUAUCAGGGUGGUCACAUCAGCUUAGAUCACCAGUUACAGAAUCACCAAAUCACAAUCUUGUGCUUCGAAAUAAACAACAGACCUUGCAGUACUUGAACAAGUGCCUAUACUCAAUCGGAAUGGGUAACAACGAUUACAUUAACAAUUACUUCAUGCCUCAGUUCUUUCCCACCAGCAAGAGAUAUACCCCUGAACAAUAUGCUUCAGUUCUUAUUGACCAAUAUACUCGCCAAAUACUGACCUUGUACAACCAAUAUGGAGCAAGGAAGGUUGUCUUGGUUGGACUGGGACUAAUAGGUUGCACUCCUAAUGCAAUUUCGAAAGCGAAUGGGACAGCAUGUGUAGAUGAAUUGAACAGUGCAGCCCAGCUUUUUAACCAAAAGCUUGUAUCUCUUGUUAAUCAGCUCAACACCAAUUUGACUAAUGCAAAAUUCAUCUAUGUCAACAGUACUGGAAUGAGUUCAGGGGAUCCUUCUUCUGUUGGAUUCAAGGUUUUGACUGUUGGGUGUUGUCCGGUGGAUAAUGUCGGACAAUGCAUUCGUUCCGGAACUCCAUGCCAGAAUAGAGUGAGUAUGUGUUCUGGGACUCAUUCCGCCCUACUGAGGCAUUGAACCGAAUCACUGCAUUCAGAACAUACACUAGUGUCCAGCCCACUGAUAAUUAUCCUAUGGAUGUCAGUCACCUAGUUCAUCUUAACCUAUAA